rnacentral:rRNA from 1 species
GGACCCGCGGCGUAUUAGCUAGUUGGUGAGGUAAUAGCUCACCAAGGCGAUGAUACGUAGCCGACCUGAGAGGGUAAUCGGCCACAUUGGGACUGAGACACGGCCCAAACUCCUACGGGAGGCAGCAGUAGGGAAUCUUCCACAAUGGACGAAAGUCUGAUGGAGCAACGCCGCGUGAGUGAAGAAGGGUUUCGGCUCGUAAAACUCUGUUGUUAAAGAAGAACAUAUCCGAGAGUAACUGUUCAGGUAUUGACGGUAUUUAACCAGAAAGCCACGGCUAACUACGUG